UCCAGAGACAGUAGUAGUCCUUGUUGAUGGGGGAAGGAGCCAGUUGGGGGAAAGAGGGGGGGAUUACAUUCACCGUAUGGGAUUUUUGUGUCUUUUAAAUUGUGCACCCUGACCUUCCCCUACAAACACAGACACAAAUGGAUCUUCCCUUCUUCAAGAUGGCACAAGGCUCUGAAUAUAAAAUAGAUGCUUUUUGGGUUGGAAACAUUCUGUAGAUUGACCCAACGGAAGAGAACAAAGAGUAAAGGUCUCCCAGUCCUUCCCUCUCCGCUCCCCUUUACAGAACCCAGGGGAUGUGACCGGUCCCAUUCUUUUUACUCUGUCAUUUAACAAAUGGGAUCCUGCCAUGUGCUGGGCCCUGUGCAACCUCAAGGUCACAACCCUGAGAAAGAAGGUGGAUCCUGCCUUUAAUCCGUCCCAGGGCCACUUGCCCAGAGGGAGAGGAAAUGGGCCAAAAUGAGCACUAGAGCAUAUUGAAGAAUAAAGAGGAGGAGAAGUGACCAAAGAGCAGCCAGGACAGAGUAGGCAAAGAUCAAACUGCCCUGAGGCCUAAGAGGGAAGCGCUCGGAAAAGGAGGGGUGCUGAGGGGCCGAACCCUACACGGCGGUAGCAGCCCCGCGGCGGCGGCAUCCGAGGCAUUUCUGUAAGAAACAUUAUUUCCGAGCAGAUG